GGUGUUAUACUUUAAAUUUAGAAGGUUUGAUUUGCAGUCAAUUAGUGAAUAGUAUUCUAAUACCA
rnacentral:tRNA from 1 species